UCACCUGAUGAGCAUGUUCCGGAGGAUUGUGAAGUCGCAGUGCUCGCCAUUAUCCACUGGAAGAGACAGACGGAGACACGAUUAGAACAGGAUGAGUUGGGAGGAAACCCCGCUGGGCGCUGUGGCUCUGGAGGUCAACGAAGGGGAGGUGCCUGGAGGAGUUCCCUUUGAGGCUCAUCAAGGAUCAGUUUGUAAUUCCACAGAUGUUGGCCUGAUGUUUGCUCUCCUUGGAGCCAUCUGAGAAGCUCGUGCACUAGAGAUACGUUUCUAACAUGUAUAAUAUGUUCAGAAAAACAUCUCAUUUGAAUUACCUCGACUUUGCAACAUUACCUAAUAUCCUCAUAAGCUCUUUAUACUUAGGGACUUAAUUUAUUUCAUCAUCACGAUUAUUUAUUUAUGUGUCCGGUUCUAUCUUUUACUCACGGAUAUCCUUUUUACUGCUUAUUUUGUUGGUUUUAACAGCACAUUUUUUCCUCUCAAGACUCAAACAAGCAUUUCAAGGCCCUGUCGUGGCACUACCAGAUGGCUGUAGUACCUGAACCCAUCAGCAGGUGGCAUCACACACACUUGUUGUGUCCCUCCUACAGUACAACUCACCACAGUCCUCUGGGGGUUUCUCUGGACUGCUGUGGUGGAGUGACUUGCAUAGCUUCUCAGGGCCCUUGCCCUCUUUCUUUUUUUCUCCAAAACAUUUCGGGUAUUCCAGAACUCAAGCAUCACAGGCGGCAGAGCAGUUUCAUGGAGCACUCCCACAAGUCAUCCACGAGGCUGUACUGUACUCGGCGCUCAAGCCGUUAAUCAUUUGUUUUUCUGAGACGACAAUUUUCCACUUCACCGCCGCUGCAGCGAAUACCUCCGCGACGUCCCCACUGCGGCUGCGCGCGCUCAUCCCUUCAUAUGUAGCCAUGCUUCAUACGCCUGACCACAAUGAGACGGCUACAUCCUGUGGCAGGUCAAGCGCGGGUCUCGCAUCCUGUGCUAAAGAGACAGAAAAGGCCUCUAGUUUCCCCACUGGUGGGAAAAAUGUUUUCUUUUUCAUAGAAUGCCCCGAUGAGGAUUCAAGCAAGAGAUACAGCUGCUUUAAACACGCUUCCACAGAAGGAAGUGCCAACUAAAUAAACUAGUAUGGCUCUGAAAUCAGAAGUAAAUUGAAAUUAAAUUGCAACGAUAGUUUUCUUUUGAAAAUAGAGGGAGGCGUGCAGACAAUUUUAUCUUUGAAGGUACAUGCAAUAAAUGUGCAUCUUCUCCUCCUUUUAAUAUGAACAUAACACCCGUCAUGAUUGACCCCAUUUCAUAUCUUAACUUUUUUUUGUAUCCUUGUUUUUGAAUGCAGUUCUCUUAAUUAAAGUUUAAAUCCUA